GAACUAAACAUGGACAACGAACUCUGAUAUUGUGUCGCAAUGCAUUUUUAUUUCCUAAGGAGGCAGGUUUUGUAACCUAGAAUCCUUUCCUGGGUCAAGUGCCCAAAAGACUCCUGCUGCCAUCUCAGGGCUCCUUAGCGCCAAAAAUGAACCUGCAGCAGCCACAGGUCAAGGCAUGCAGGGAGCGACCAAUCCACUCUAAGCAGCCGGAGACCAGCGGGUUCUGGCUCCACCAAGCGGCGACGGGAGGAAGGUGAAGCUCCGAAGGUGGCCCGCUGUCCUGCUCUCUGUCACCAGGUCCCGUUGGGGGUUGGUCGGGUUCCUCUGCCGGGUCCCUCUCUCCUGUGGCUGUGAGCUGGGCUGCGCUUGCUUCCAAAGUGCUCCAGGCUCUGGGACUGGGUCUGUUUGGCAAGAAGUCAAAGGGCAGGCACCGACAAGGACUGGAAAGCAGUUCGUAAUUGAAAUCGCCGCGAUGGCCUGAGGACUCUCCCAGUACCGGGUAGAAAGGAAGCGGCCACGGCCCAGAAUCUGCCGGGCUCCCGCCAGGAAGCUGCAGCUCUGGCUCCACCUCUGCGCAAUUCCAAGCCUCCUUCUCGGGCUGGAGAAAAUGCUGCUCCAUCGCAAUAGACCUCGGACCAGCAGCAGGACAUGAGCCUUUGCUCUGAUGGAGGAGGCAGAGCCUUCAGAAGGGCCAUGAGCCUUGGUAUUUAUGCACCGUGGGCGGAGGCAAGUCAGACAUCAAAAGAAUCCUGGUAGGAAAUAUGAGAAAAAUCAGUAGACUAAAUGGAAUACGACUAAAUCGUACUGAGCACGGGGAGCUGAAAUAAAUCGUUCUGAUGAAAAAAAAUCGUAACCAGAGCUACACAAGCCGAAAACAAAUGGAAAAGCCAAAAGCAAAUCAGACGGAAUAAAAUACGACAUAAACUCACUAUACUUAAAUAAAAAAAGAAACAGAGAAACCGAAAGCAAACCGGACCAAAUAGAAUAGUGACAAGCCCUACAAGGGCACGGCCAACGGACGGUAAUAGAUCGUCCCGAUGAAAAACCGUAGCCAGAGGAAAACAACCGAAAGGAAACGGAGGUGCCGAAAGGAAACCGGACGCAAUGGAAUUCAGACAAAUCCUAGACAGCACAGCGAACCAGAAUAAGUCAUUCUGAUGAAAAAACAUAGCAUGAAAACAACCGAAAGGGAACAACAAUAAGCAAACCCGACAGAGAAGGAGCCCUGCAACACGCAGGGAGCUGUCGGCGCCCCGGCGGAGACCAGAAGCCACCGCUCUGGGCAAAAGGAGCGGUGCCGCCGCUGGCCGCCUCGCGGACGAGAAACCGCAGGCACCAGCGGCACUGGCAGCAGCCAACAGUGGUGCUGUGGCCCAAGACAAAUUACCCGCUUGAGAGCGAUCUGCUGUGCAGACAAAGAGAAACCGCCGGCUUUCAGAAAGGAGCAGCCUGAGACCCCGAAAACCACCCUGCGUGGAGGAAUGACCGGUGCUGCCUUAGAGCAAAACACCGUCUCAGUACAGGCAACUAGUCCCAGUCCAGUAAGAAGGCUGAAGAGAUGGAAUCCCAUGCAUCCACCCUGCAAGAGCUGUCUUGGAGGUGGGCACAUCCAGAGCCCCACAUGCCAUGGGGCCUGAACCCAGAACCAGGCCUGGGCCUGGGUUCUGGAUAACUUCCCCGCGCUGAGCCGCCCCUCCUGCCAAUGCCCCAGUCCUACGGGGACGGGCACUAUGGUGCAUGUGAGAGGCUGCUUCGUGCUUGCACCGAGCAUGCAGACGGUCCCCAAGUUGAGAGCAGCCCAAAACGCUGUCGAGACCCACAAGCCCAGGAGCCAAUGGCUCAUCCGGGAUGGAACAACUGUCCCACCAAGAAGAGGCCAGAGCUACAGACCACGCAGCUCAACAGGGCCUGAACCAGUCAGGAGAUGCCAGCAGCAGCGGAGGUGGACAGACAAGCAGCCAGAUUGCCUCCCAGGAUCCCAAGACAGCCCCACCCACUCCCAUCCCCACCCCCUGAGACUGCUGAAAAAUGAGGCUUGAAACCCAGGAACUCCACAAAGUAAGGAAGGAUGGCAGCCUUAUGCCCUGCCACACGGCAACCCUUCAACCCAUGCCCUGGACUGGAGUCACGGAGUCACCCCAGUGGAGGCCCUCAUUCUGCCUGUCUGGACUUCUCCCCUGGCCCCAGCCUUGCUCGGGGAUGAGCCUCAGGGUCUCUGUAGUGCAGAAUAUUCUUUAUUGUCCUUUCAUUCCUGAAUUACUGACAGGUUUUUCAAUAAGAAAUCUCUUUUCAGGGAAUCAAUACUAUCUUAAGGAUGUUUCUUGCAGAUGUACUCAGAAUAUUCGUGCUUUUCAUGUUAAUUCCAAUUGUGCACAAUGAUUAAAGUCUGUUUCCUUA